CCUCGUUAAGGAACUCGGCAAAAUGGCCCCGUAACUUCGGGAGAAGGGGCGCCUCGGUAGGGUGAAGGUCCCUCGCGGACCGGAGCUCGAGGAGGCCGCAGAGAAACGGCCCAAGCGACUGUUUACCAAAAACACAGGCCUCUGCUAAGUCGUAAGACGACGUAUAGGGGCUGACGCCUGCCCGGUGCCGGAAGGUCACGAGGAGAGGUUAGCCUUCGGGCGAAGCUUUGAAUCCAAGCCCCGGUAAACGGCGGCGGUAACUAUAACCGUCCUAAGGUAGCGAAAUUCCUUGUCGGGUAAGUUCCGACCUGCACGAAUGGCGUAACGACUUGGGCGCUGUCUCAACGAGGGAUCCGGUGAAAUUGUAGUCUCGGUGAAGAUGCCGAGUACCCGUGGCUGGACGGAAAGACCCCGUGAACCUUUACUGCAGCUUUGCGUUGAAGUUUGGUGUUCGCUGUCCAGGAUAGGUGGGAGGCUUUGAAGCGGGGGCGUCAGCUCUCGUGGAGCCAACCUUGGGAUACCACCCUUCGGAUUCUGGGCUUCUAACCCGAUGCCGUGAUCCGGGUCGGGAACAGCGUGAGGUGGGCAGUUUGACUGGGGCGGUCGCCUCCUAAAAUGUAACGGAGGCGCGCAAUGGUUCCCUCAGCACGGUUGGAAAUCGUGCGUAGAGCGCAAAGGCAUAAGGGAGCCUGACUGCGAGACUGACAAGUCGAGCAGGGACGAAAGUCGGCCUUAGUGAUCCGGCGGUUAAGAGUGGAAUUGCCGUCGCUCAACGGAUAAAAGGUACUCCGGGGAUAACAGGCUUAUCCUCCCCAAGAGUCCACAUCGACGGGAGGGUUUGGCACCUCGAUGUCGGCUCGUCGCAUCCUGGGGCUGAAGCAGGUCCCAAGGGUUGGGCUGUUCGCCCAUUAAAGCGGCACGCGAGCUGGGUUCAGAACGUCGUGAGACAGUUCGGUCCCUAUCCGCCAUGGGCGUUGGGAACUUGAGAGGAGUCGUCUCUAGUACGAGAGGACCGAGAUGAACAGACCGCUGGUGUAUCAGUUGUCCUGCCAAGGGCACUGCUGAUUAGCCACGUCUGGAUGGGAUAACCGCUGAAAGCAUCUAAGCGGGAAGCCCACCUCGAGAUGAGGUUCCCCAUCACUUCGAGUGAGUAAGGGCCGUGGAAGACCACCACGUCGAUAGGCGGGCGGUGCAAGCGCAGCAAUGCGUUCAGCUGACCCGUACUAAUUGCCCGAGGUCUUGAUCUU
rnacentral:rRNA from 1 species